rnacentral:lncRNA from 1 species
CACGUGGCCAAUCUCUCUCUCUCUCUCUCUCUCUCUCCCUCCUCCCUCCCUCCCUCUCUCUCUCUCUUGCUCACUCUCUCUCUCGCUCUCUCGCUCUCUCUCGCUCUCGCUCUCUCGCUCUCUCAUCUUUUACAACCCUCUCCAGCCUGGCUGUGUGUACGAACUUUCAUACAGUCAUCGUGGGCGCUGCGGCGUGUUGAGAUGUGCCGGUCCUUGCACACUUUGGGGAAAUCCGUGGGUGGGGGAGACUGAAAAUGGCUGAGAACAGGACGACCAAAGAAAGCAGUCUCCGUCGACCCGUUUCUUCCUGCCAGCUUACCCCCCUCCCCGCUUCCUGUUCUUUGGACUUCGCAGAUUAGCCCUGAGCUAACAUCUGUUGCCAAUCCUGCUCUUUUUGCUGAGGAAGACUAGCCCUGAGCUAACAUCCAUGCCCAUCUUCCUCUACUUUAUACGUGGGACGCCUGCCACAGCAUGGCUUGCCAAGCAGUGCCAUGUCUGCACCCGGG